ACAAAAAAAAAAAAAAAAAAAUUCGCACUGGAGCCAAGACAUGGAAACAACCUAAAUGUCCAUUGACAGAGGAGUGGAUAAAGAAGAUGUAGUACAUAUACACAAUGGAAUAUUACUCAGCCAUUAAAAGGAAAGAAAUAACGGCAUUUGCAGCAACAUGGAUGGACCUCGAAAUUAUCAUGCUAAGUGAAAUCAGACGUUGAGACACCAACAUCAAAUGCUAUCAGACAUGUGGAAUCUAAAAAAGGACACAAUGAACUUCUUUGCCACACAGAUAUUGACUCAUAGACUUUGAAAACCUUAUGGUUUCCAAAUGAGACAGGUUGUGGGCUGGAGGGAUGCACCAAGGAUUUGGGAUGGGAAUGCUAUAAAAUUUGGUUGUGAUAAUCACUGUACAACUAUAAAUGUAAUAAAAUUCACUGAGUAAUAAAAAAAUAGUAUCAAAAGCUCAGUUGAGGUCAUCAAGCAAAAAAAAUAAAAAAUUUGCACUGGACAUAUAAAGAUAGAAAUGAGAUUCCAGAAAAACAGAUCAGGGAAGUGGAGGCAGAGAGAAAACAGAAUGUAUGAAAAUGACAAGAGAAAAGAUGCUGUGAGGCAGAGAGCAGGGAGACUGUCAGAGAUUUUGCAUAUCCCCAAAGAAAAUGCCACCCCCCAAUGUAAGCAAUACUCAAAAACAUUUGAAGAAUAUCUCCUCUGAUUGAAAAUUUGUAUAUGUUGUAGUAUUUAAACAUUACUAGGAAAAAAUAAGACAGACAUACUAGAUGAAUUGAGGCAAAUUGCUUGAAAACAAUAUUGAUAAAGAAAAAAUUGUAAGUAUUCAGGUAAAGAGAAUAAAAGCUUGCCUUGAAAAGCAUAUGUUUUAGACUGACCUCAAACUUCUCCAUGUAGUAGAGGGACUUAGAAAUGUUUGAUUGGAAAAUGCUGGGAUUUAGGAGUUCCCGUCCUGGCACGGUGGUUAACAAAUCCGACUAGGAGCCAUGAGGUUGAGGGUUCGAUUCCUGGCCUUGCUCAGUGGGUUAAGGAUCCGGUGUUGCCCUGAGCUGUGGUGUAGGUUGCAGACGAGGCUUGGAUCUGGUAUUGCUGUGGCUGUGGUGUAGGCCGGCAGCUGUAGUUCCAAUUUGACCCCUAGGCUGGGAACCUGCAUAUGCCAUGGGUGUGGCCCUAAAAAGACCAACAACAACAAAAAAAUUUAAAUUUAAGAAUUAGAAACUCUCUGUCAUGAGGUUCCUGCCCUUCUAAUGAAAUAGUGUCAUGUUAUUUGAAAGUGGAUGUAGUUAAAGGUGUAUGUUUUCUAUCCCAGGGCAACUGCUACAAAGAUUAAGUAAAGCAUGAUUUAAAAAUAAUCAUAAAAAGAGGAGAUAGGGAGUUCCCAUAAUGGCUCAGUGGUUAAUGAAUCCGACUAGGAACCAUGAGGUUGCGGGUUCGAUCCCUGGCCUCGCUCAGUGGGUUGAGGAUCUGGCGUUGCCGUGAGCUGGGGUGUAGGUUGCAGACGCGGCUCGGAUCCCGCGUUGCUGUGGCUCUGGCGUUGGCCAGCGGCUGCAGCUCCAAUUCGACCCCUAGCCUGGGAACCUCCAUAUGCUGCGGGAGCGGCCCUAGAAAAGGCAAAAAAACAAAAAACAAAAAUAAAAAUAAAAUAAAUAAAUAAAAGAAAGUGCUGGGAUUUAGAACUUCCUUACAAACCAAAUUGAUUUGAUGUGGGGGGAAUCGGUAAUACAUCCUCAAAUAUAUUAUCAAUGUAUUUGAAGAGUACUCGAUAAUGAUGCAGAAGUCAAAAUAGAAACAUCAUGCUUUGAAGAUUUUGAAAUAUUUAUUAAAAGCAAUUAAUUCUAAGUGAGUACUGCAUAUUUAUUUACGAAUCAAAAUUAUACGUAUUUUUGAAAGGAAAUAUCUUGUUAAAAUAAUUAUGUUAAAAAUAAUCUUCCCUCCGUGGUUUCAGGAUUACUCUGAAAAGAAUGUGCGGACAAGACAAAAAAACCAACCAACCAACCAACCAACCAAAAACCCAAAUAAAUAAACAUAAAAGAAAAAGCAAAGGAGAACGUAAAAAAACAGAAAAUGUUAAAUCAUAUAUUAAUGUGUUCAUACAAUGUUACAGGUAAAAAAGCUGGGCACAAAGCUAUGUACGCACUCUGAACUCAAUUUUAUUUAAAACUAUAUACAUGCCUAUAUAACCAAAUAUAUUCCCAGAUACUUAGAUGGGGGAAAUUAAAAGAAAAUCAUGGAUUUGGAGAAGAGACUGGUGGUUGCCAAGGGGGACGGGGAGGGAGUGGGACGGACGGGGAGCUUGGGGUAAAUAGAUGCAGACUAUGGCCUUUGGAAUGGAUUAGCAAGGAGAUCCUGCUGUGUAGCACUGGGAACUAUGUCUGGUCACUUAUGAUGGAGCAUGAUAAUGUGAGAAAAAAGAAUGUAUUGGAGUUCCUGUCAUGGCUCAGUGGUUAACGAAUCCAACUAGGAACCCUGAGGUUGCUGGUUUGAUCCCUGGCCUUGCUCAGUGGGUUAAGGAUCCGGUGUUGCUGUGAGCUGUGGUGUAGGUCGCAGAUGCAGCGUGGAUCCCCCAUUGCUGUGGCUGUGGCGUGGGCUGACGGCUACAGCUCUGAUGUGACCCCUAGCCUGGGAACCUUCAUGUGAUGCAGGAGCGGCCCUAAAAAAAGGCAAAAAG
rnacentral:lncRNA from 1 species